ensembl:lncRNA
UAAAGAUUGUGUUCCUCUUGAGCUGUUAUUGGUUGUUGGAAGGUGCUCUUUCUUUGCUUCACAUCAUAGUAAACUUCAGAACCUCACCUCGGCACCUGCAGGACUGCCUUCAAUUUACAUUAAUUUCAGACACCACAAAGUGAAUCCCUAAUAAUGCCCUGAGCAAUGAUAACUUUUUUUUUUUUUAGAGAGAGAAUGAAGAAAAGAGUCUGAUAGAAAUCCAUAUGGUGUACAUAAUAACAAUUUGCAGUGAAGCAAAUACCCUUAACAUCCCAAUGAAAGCUCUUGCAAUAAAAUACAUAGUUCUCUCUCUUUGGCUGUUGAUUCCAAUUUCAUGUUAUCCCAAGCCUUUCCAUUUUUGGAGCAAGAAGAAAAUAAGAUCUCAGUUCUUCAUACUCAGGAGCAAUACAGCCGCAUGGAAGAGUGAGGUUUCCUCCUGGAGCUGGGAUGAUUCCUGGACUUGCCCAGCCCUUCACAAGGAGCCAGGCUACAUAAGAUGGUACAUGCAGGAGAACGAGCAGCUUUCUAUAAAUGCCAGAAAUGUGCAUCUCAUCUGAUCUUGUUCUGAGAGCAAGCACAACCACCUGCUGAUGGCUGCUAAUGAUGAGAAUGGGGCUGCAUGCAGCCAUGGCUGAGCUAAGCCAGUAUUUGAGAGGGGAAAUUGCUGGCAGAACCAUUUGCGUUCUGGUGGUGAGGACCUCAUGUCCCAAAGUGCCAGUGACUCAUUCUUAGAUCUCAAACAACAAAUGCGUUGCCCGGUGCUAUCAUGACAGAUGCAGCAGAAACCACUGGGGACUCUUUUCUUUGCCUAAUGAAAGUAAAGUAUUUAAUCAAGAGAGACCAAAUGGAUUAUUGGAACUUCACUGUACUGCUUCUGGGACUUGUGCUGAACAACUUUUAUCAGGACUUACACCAGCACUUCAAUGGUUGGGUCUGCUGAGCCCACAAAGUUCCCCAAACUGCAGCGAACACCUCAAAACUGGAGUGCUAUGGGCAGCAAUGCCACAGGCUGGGCUGGCAGGGCAUUCUUCCUAACUCAACCAUACCAAACACAGAUUGGCCAUACCGGGGGAGUACAUCAUGGGGAACUGGUGUCCCGAUACAGGCAAUGAAGAUAUGAAUUCGCCCCUCCCACACAAAGUGACAACAAAAAGCCAUCAGCCUUGGUUUCCAAGAUGAGUUUUCUCCUUGCGAUUCAGCCUCAAGCAGAUCUGUAGAUAACCCUAUAGCCUGAGGAAGAGGAGCUUCUGCAAACGUGACUGAAGGAAGCCCCCAUACAAGCACUGACCAUGUCUUAACCAAGGUCAGUAACAGUGCCACAGUGAAUUGAGCUUUAAGGAAAAAAAAAUGCCUUUUAUUUUUGUUAUUUAAAGAAAGGUGGAUAGUUCCUAUUGAUUUUCUUUACUCAGGAUUUUUGCAGUGAUUCCAUGAAGCAACUUUCACUGCAGUGUUCCUGAAAAUAAAUGGACCACAUAUUACGCUCAUUCAUUUAAACCCACCAGACCUAUUUAAAAAGAAUAGGAGCUGAUUGUGUUAGCUUUCUGUAAUUGAAAAGGGGCUGGUUGCACCACUCUUCUCAUGGAGUAAUUUGUCUGCUUGGGAGCUGGAUCAUCAGCUGCAGUUAAAAAUCCUGCUGCUUUCAGGAUUUCUGUGUCUUAGUCUGUUGGGUUGUUUUUUUUGUGUGUUU